rnacentral:tRNA from 1 species
GGUCCCGUAGUUCAACGGAUAGAACAAGACACUCCUAACGUCUAGAUACAGGUUCGAUUCCUGUCGGGGCUACCA